rnacentral:rRNA from 1 species
AGAACAUUGAGAGAACCUUUUCCUAGUACAAAAGGACGGAGAAAUACGCACAUCUAGUGUACAAUUAUCUUGUCCAUGCUACGAAGCGAAUAACUGCCGAAAGCAUUUGAGUAGUAAGAUCAAUCCAAAAUGAAUGCUCU